GAUGCAUCAAAGGAGGAGAUAGAAAGGAAGGUCGCCUUCAUGUUAGAACUGGCACCUGUUCUAGAGUGUACAAAAUUUCCAGUACUAACUGGCCAGUCCGUUCUAUCCAAUCUGUGACAAGGAUGCAAUUGGUUCUCACUCUACAUUCUAGGAAAUUAAAUUCAGAAUAUGAGGUCAGCCUUUGCUCCAAAUCCAAUACUUUACUCUUAGACUCAUCCUGUCUUAUUAGAGACAACUUGAUUUGCUUCAUUGUUAUCAGGAAAUGAAGCUAGCUCCAAGUAGAAACCCAAUUGAAAUGUCAAUUUGGAUAUAAUGCUAUCUAUGGUCCCCUUGAAGAAGG
rnacentral:lncRNA from 1 species